rnacentral:rRNA from 1 species
GACGAACGCUGGCGGCGUGCUUAACACAUGCAAGUCGAACGGUGAAGCCCUUCGGGGUGGAUCAGUGGCGAACGGGUGAGUAACACGUGAGCAACCUGCCCCUGGCUCUUGGACAACCACUGGAAACGGUGGCUAAUACCGGAUACGACCCGCCUCGGCAUCGAGUGUGGGUGGAAAGUUUUUCGGCUGGGGAUGGGCUCGCGGCCUAUCAGCUUGUUGGUGAGGUGAAGGCUCACCAAGGCGACGACGGGUAGCCGGCCUGAGAGGGCGACCGGCCACACUGGGACUGAGACACGGCCCAGACUCCUACGGGAGGCAGCAGUGGGGAAUAUUGCACAAUGGGCGAAAGCCUGAUGCAGCGACGCCGCGUGAGGGAUGACGGCCUUCGGGUUGUAAACCUCUUUCAGCUCCGAAGAAGCGAAAGUGACGGUAGGAGCAGAAGAAGCACCGGCUAACUACGUG